AGCGAACGGUGGCGGCGUGGAUUAGGCAUGCAAGUCGGACGCGAACGGAGAGCUUGCUCUCCUAUUAGAGUGGCGAACGGGUGAGUAAUGUAUGGAUGACCUACCUCGGACUCUGGGACAACCGCUGGAAACGGUGGCUAAUACCGGAUGGUCCUGGCGAUUCAUUUUGCCAGGUAAAGAUACUUGUAUUGGUCCGUGAGGGAUCCAUAUCCCAUCAGCUUGUUGGCGGGGUAAUGGCCCACCAAGGCAACGACGGGUAGCCGGACUGAGAGGUCGACCGGUCACAUCGGGACUGAGACACUGCCCGGACUCCUACGGGAGGCUGCAGUCGAGAAUCUUCCGCAAUGGGCGCAAGCCUGACGGAGCGACGCCGCGUGAAGGAUGACGGCCUCGGUUGUAACGUUACUGUCUACCCGACG
rnacentral:rRNA from 1 species